rnacentral:tRNA from 1 species
GCCACGGUGGUCUAUCGCUUAGAACGCUGGCCUUGUAAUCCUGGGGUCUCGGGUUCGAUUCCCGGCGGUGCCC